rnacentral:rRNA from 1 species
GUGGGGAUUAGUGGCGAACGGGUGAGUAACACGUGGGCAAUCUGCCCUGCACUCUGGGACAAGCCCUGGAAACGGGGUCUAAUACCGGAUACUGACCCUCGCAGGCAUCUGCGAGGUUCGAAAGCUCCGGCGGUGCAGGAUGAGCCCGCGGCCUAUCAGCUUGUUGGUGAGGUAAUGGCUCACCAAGGCGACGACGGGUAGCCGGCCUGAGAGGGCGACCGGCCACACUGGGACUGAGACACGGCCCAGACUCCUACGGGAGGCAGCAGUGGGGAAUAUUGCACAAUGGGCGAAAGCCUGAUGCAGCGACGCCGCGUGAGGGAUGACGGCCUUCGGGUUGUAAACCUCUUUCAGCAGGGAAGAAGCGAAAGUGACGGUACCUGCAGAAGAAGCGCCGGCUAACUACGUGCC